rnacentral:rRNA from 1 species
AGGACGAACGCUGGCGGCGUGCUUAACACAUGCAAGUCGAACGGAAAGGCCCUUCGGGGUACUCGAGUGGCGAACGGGUGAGUAACACGUGGGUGAUCUGCCCCGCACUUUGGGAUAAGCCUGGGAAACUGGGUCUAAUACCGAAUAGGACCAUGGCAUGCAUGUGCUGUGGUGGAAAGCUUUUGCGGUGUGGGAUGGGCCCGCGGCCUAUCAGCUUGUUGGUGGGGUUAAGGCCUACCAAGGCGACGACGGGUAGCCGGCCUGAGAGGGUGUCCGGCCACACUGGGACUGAGAUACGGCCCAGACUCCUACGGGAGGCAGCAGUGGGGAAUAUUGCACAAUGGGCGCAAGCCUGAUGCAGCGACGCCGCGUGGGGGAUGACGGCCUUCGGGUUGUAAACCCUUUCAGUAGGGACGAAGCGCAAGUGACGGUACCUACAGAAGAAGCACCGGCCAACUACGCGCCAGCAGCCGC